UACGUAGGGUGCAAGCGUUGUCCGGAUUUAUUGGGCGUAAAGGGCUUUUAGGCGGCUUAGCAAGUCGGGUGUGAAACCUCCAGGCUCAACCUGGAGUCGCCAUUCGAUACUGCUAUGGCUAGAGUCUGGUAGGGGAUCACGGAAUUCCUGGUGUAGCGGUGAAAUGCAUAGAUAUCAGGAGGAACACCGGUGGCGAAGGCGGUGAUCUGGGCCAGUACUGACGCUGAAGA
rnacentral:rRNA from 1 species